rnacentral:rRNA from 1 species
GACGAACGCUGGCGGCGUGCCUAAUACAUGCAAGUUGAGCGAUGAAGAUUGGUGCUUGCACCAAUUUGAAGAGCAGCGAACGGGUGAGUAACGCGUGGGGAAUCUGCCUUUGAGCGGGGGACAACAUUUGGAAACGAAUGCUAAUACCGCAUAGCAACUUUAAACAUAAGUUUUAAGUUUGAAAGAUGCAAUUGCAUCACUCAAAGAUGAUCCCGCGUUAUAUUAGCUAGUUGGUGAGGUAAAGGCUCACCAAGGCGAUGAUACAUAGCCGACCUGAGAGGGUGAUCGGCCACAUUGGGACUGAGACACGGCCCAAACUCCUACGGGAGGCAGCAGUAGGGAAUCUUCGGCAAUGGACGAAAGUCUGACCGAGCAACGCCGCGUGAGUGAAGAAGGUUGUCGGAUCGUAAAACUCGGUUGGUAGAGAAGAACGUUGGUGAGAGUGGAAAGCUCAUCAAGUGACGGUAACUACCCAGAAAGGGACGGCUAACUACGUG